rnacentral:rRNA from 1 species
UGGGGAAUAUUGGACAAUGGGCGCAAGCCUGAUCCAGCCAUGCCGCGUGAGUGAUGAAGGCCUUCGGGUUGUAAAGCUCUUUUGGCGGGGACGAUGAUGACGGUACCCGCAGAAUAAGCCCCGGCAAACUUCGUGCCAGCAGCCGCGGUAAGACGAAGGGGGCUAGCGUUGUUCGGAAUUACUGGGCGUAAAGGGCGCGUAGGCGGCGCUUUAAGUCAGGCGUGAAAGCCCUGGGCUCAACCUGGGAGUGGCGCUUGAUACUGGAGUGCUAGAGAGUGGGAGAGGUUGGUGGAAUUCCCAGUGUAGAGGUGAAAUUCGUAGAUAUUGGGAAGAACACCGGUGGCGAAGGCGGCCAACUGGACCAUUUCUGACGCUGAGGCGCGAAAGCGUGGGGAGCAAACAGG